GUGCAGCAGUCGCGAAAACUCCGCAAUGCCCGAAAGGGUGACGGGGGAUUCCAAGUGCCUACGCUUAGCGUAGGCUGUUCAGGUGCCUAAAAAGCACCUGGAGGAAGGGCUGGGUAAGACGGGUGCCAGCCGCCGCGGUAAUACCCGCAGCCCGAGUGGUAGUCGCUUUUAUUGGGCCUAAAGCGUCCGUAGCCGGUCUGGUAAAUGCCUGGGUAAAUCGUGGGGCUUAACCUCACGAAUUCCGGGUAGACUGCCAGACUUGGGACCGGUUGAGGGAGAGGGUACUCCAGGGGUAGGGGUGAAAUCAGCAAGGUAAGCUGAUGUAACUUGCCUUGCAAGUCACAAUCCUGUAAUCCUUGGAGGACCACCGGUGGCGAAAGCGCUCUCCUAGGACGGGUCCGACGGUGAGGGACGAAAGCCAGGGGAGCAAAACCGGAUUAGAUACCCGCGUAGU
rnacentral:rRNA from 1 species